AUACGAAGGGUGCAAGCGUUAAUCGGAAUUACUGGGCGUAAAGCGCGCGUAGGUGGUUCGUUAAGUUGGAUGUGAAAGCCCCGGGCUCAACCUGGGAACUGCAUCCAAAACUGGCGAGCUAGAGUAUAGCAGAGGGUGGUGGAAUUUCCUGUGUAGCGGUGAAAUGCGUAGAUAUAGGAAGGAACACCAGUGGCGAAGGCGCCCACCUGGGCUAAUACUGACACUGAGGUGCGAAAGCGGGGGGAGCAAACAGGAUUAGAUACCCUGGUAGUCCACGCCGUAAACGAUGUCGACUAGCCGUUGGGAUCCUUGAGAUCUUAGUGGCGCAGCUAACGCAUUAAGUCGACCGCCUGGGGAGUACGGCCGCAAGGUUAAAACUCAAAUGAAUUGACGGGG
rnacentral:rRNA from 1 species